UAAGUUUGAUGGCGACCGGCGCACGGGUGAGUAACACGUAUCCAACCUGCCGAUGACUCGGGGAUAGCCUUUCGAAAGAAAGAUUAAUACCCGAUGGCAUAGUUCUUCCGCAUGGUGGAACUAUUAAAGAAUUUCGGUCAUCGAUGGGGAUGCGUUCCAUUAGGUUGUUGGCGGGGUAACGGUCCACCAAGCCUUCGAUGGAUAGGGGUUCUGAGAGGAAGGUCCCCCACAUUGGAACUGAGACACGGUCCAAACUCCUACGGGAGGCAGCAUG
rnacentral:rRNA from 1 species